AGUUACCAGCACGUUAUGUGGGCGACUCUAAGGAGACUGCCGGUGACAAACCGGAGGAAGUGGGGAUGACGUCAAGUCAUCAUGGCCCUUACGGCCUGGGCUACACACGUGCUACAAUGGUCGGUACAAAGGGUUGCCAAGCCGCGAGGUGGAGCUAAUCCCAUAAAACCGAUCGUAGUCCGGAUCGCAGUCUGCAACUCGACUGCGUGAAGUCGGAAUCGCUAGUAAUCGUGAAUCAGAAUGUCACGGUGAAUACGUUCCCGGGCCUU
rnacentral:rRNA from 1 species